GGUUCACUAGACGACGUUGUCAACACGUAAUGGCGGCCAUUAUUUGACGUCGGAUUUGGCAUUCCUCGUUGAAAGUUGCAUUUAUGACAUUCUUGGAUGCUUAAACUUUGUGCCACACAACAUAAAAGAUAAAGCUUUAUUCCAGAUAUUGCAGGUAAUUAUUUUCAAAGAAGUCGUAUCCCAAGAAAUGAUUUAAACGGCAAAAAUAAAGUGUAAAAUAAUAUGAAACAUGAAUAUUGAAAUCCAAGUUUUCAUCAUUUCCUUUUCAUGUAAUGAAUUUACUAUUUAUCACUUUUAUUAUUUUAUUACAUUCGGAUUUCGGUCUGGGGUAUCCGCCCUUGUCUCCGGAAAUAUUAUACCCACUGUCAACAUCCGUUUUCAAACUGGACAGACAAAAUUAAAAAAAGUGUUCUUCACGAUCUCCCUGGAAAUAAUUCACGCUAUCACUUUGUGAACAUUGUAAACAUGAAACUGCAAAUACGGACCAAAACGAAUCAAAUUUGAAAGCGUGGAUGAUGAUCAUGUUUCAUGCCGACUGUAAGUUCUCUAAAAAAGGGGGUGGGGUGGGUGGGUACUCCAUGAAUUUUGCUGCACGUCAAAGACGUCCAUGUACUAAAUCAUUAGAAUGUAAGACAUAUUCACUUUAACUCUUGGCUACUUUAUACCUGGUCUUAUAUAAAUAAAUUCCCAUUUUAUCUGGGAACAAUUAAUUUUAUCUUCAUUAUAAACUAACUAUCUAACUAAUUUUAUUCAGGAUAAAAUCCAGUACAAAAGGAUCAUCGCUGAAACACAUGAACACAUAUACAAAACAAAACAACAAUAAAACAUAACAGCCAACACUUUUGACACUUAUAACAACAUGAACAAGCAAGAGACAAAACUCAUUAUAUGUUUAUGUGUUAAGAAUCAGAAUGUAUUGUGUAUUGUUGUCAUUAUUGCCCGUCAGGGGCCCUUAAUUGGAAAAUAAAGAAUUUUGAACUUUUAUAUGUCCCUGAUUUCAUUUAUAUAAUACAUGUACACUCAAGUUUAAUAUUUUAUCUAUAAAAAUUAAAUCUUUUAUGAACACAAAUUGAUACAAUACAAAGGGAAAGGGAUUAUAGGCACUUGUUUCUGACAAUGGGGGUUCACUAUCCAUACUCUUCUUUCACAUAUAUAAAAAAAUAAACCAGUCAUGCUUCAGUCCCUAUAUAAUCAACCAAAUUUUUUCCAACAAGGUCUCAAUAGUCAUGACAGUGGUGGUUCCAUGAUUUUAAUUGAGAAAAACUGGGUUGUGAGUGCCCCCAAAAUGUAUAUAAUUUUAGCUUGUAUUGUACAUGUUAUGAUAUUUAUGUACACUAUAAUAUAAUUGAAUAUAAAAAUGUUAAUGAAAGGAUUGUUAACACUCAAAUCUGCUCCAUGUUAUGAUAUUAAACAUUGUUAUCUAACAUGUUUAACACCACCACAUUAUUUAUGUAUGUGCCUGUCCCAAGUCAGGAGCCUGUAAUUCAGUGGUUGUCGUUUGUUUAUGUGUUACAUAUUUGUUCUUCGUUUUUUCAUAAAUAAGGCCGUUAGUUUUCUCGUUUGAAUUGUUUUACAUUGUCUUAUCGGGGCUCUUUAUAGCUGACUAUGCGGUAUGGGCUUUGCUCAUUGUUGAAGGCUGUACAGUGACCUAUAGUUGUUAAUGUCUGUGUCAUUUUGGUCUUUUGUGGAUAGUUGUCUCAUUGGCAAUCAUACCACAUCUUCUUUUUUUUAUAUUAUACUUAAAAAAUAAAUUUUCAAGACUUGGAAAUAUUUUCUUUGCCCAUUAUUGCCUUUAACUUUUAUGUAUUGAGCAAAAUGCUUGAGGCAUAAUUAUUUAUAAUACUUAGUAAAAACAUGUAUUUUCUUGGUAAUUCAUAUGGCAAAUUUGUAUUAAUGUGUUGAUAAUAACAAUGCAAAGUUUAAUUUUGCUUUGAAUAAUUUAGUAUAUAAUUUAUUUAGUAAUUGUAUGUACAUUUGCUUUAUAUUUACAGGAAGGAGAAAGAUGUUCACUAUGAAUCAAAAAUUCAAUACAUAGGACUUUUAUAUAUCAACAAAAAACACUUGUACAUGUACAUGUGUAUGUGUGAUAUACAUACAACAAGAAAACAGUAAUCAAAUGGAAUGUCAACGACCAGUGUCCAGUAAUGUUGAAAGCAAAAUGAUUUUGAUAGAAAACAAUAGGACUAGAAUAUAUUAAGGGUAAGUAAUCCAAAAGUGUCUGUUUAGGGUAAAAACAGUCAGUUAUUUACAGUGUGCUAUGAUUUCAAUCCCACAAAUAUGAAACAAAAACAUAAUAUACAUGGUAUGCAGACUGUUUUCAUAAGGGAAUAGACUGAAAAUAUCUACAUUUAACAGUCAGACAUAAUUAUAUACUAAAUUAUUCUUUUUUAUAUAUAUUGCCAAUGGAAUAAAUUGAGGAUGGAAAUUAUAAUUAAUGAGAUAUAGGUAAAAGAAUCAUACACAGACUUUAAGGCCGAAUGGUAUUCUUUUAAUAGUUUAAAGAUUUUAUUCUGUUAUCUAUGCUGUAUAAAUGUCAAGAUAGUUAGGGCCCCGCCAAAGGCGGGUCGCCCUAUAGUGAUCAGUCUGUCCGUCCGUCCGUCCGUCCGUCCGUCCGUAACACUUUGUAAUAACUUUGUGUCCGCUCCAUAUCUAGAGAACCAUUAUGAUUUCAUACUUUAUACUUUACAUGUUUAUUAACCACCACCAGAGGGCGUGUCAUGAUGUAUGUACAACUUCCUAGGUCAAAGGUCAAGGUAAAAAAACUUUGGUUUCAGUUGACAACCCUGUGUCCUGUGGUGAAGAUCGUGUCCGCUCUAUAUCUUGAGAACCGUUAUGAUUUCAAAGUUUAUACUUGACAUGUAUAUGAACCAACACCAGAGGGUGUGUCAUAAUUUAUGAACGACUGCCUAGGGCAAAGUUCAAGGUCAAAAACUUUGGUUUCAGUUGACAACCCCAUGUCCUAUGGUAAAGAUUGUGUCCGCUCUAUAUCUUGAGAACCAUUAUCAUUUUAAAGUUUAUACCUGAAAUGUAUAUAAACCAACACCAAAGGGUGUGUCAUAAUUUAUGUGCAACUUCCUAGGUCAAAGGUCAAGGUCAAAAACUUUGGUUUCAGUUGACAACCCCGUGUCCUAUGGUAAAGAUCGUGUCCGCUCUAUAUCUUGAGAACCGUUAUCAUUUCAAAGUUUAUACUUGACAUGUUUUAAACCAACACCAAAGGGUGUGUCAUAAUUUAUUUACAACUUCCUAGGUCAAAGGUCAAGGUCAAAAACUUUGAUUUCAGAUGACAAACCCAUGUCCUAUGGUAAAGAUACAAUUUUUUAAUGCACAUUAUUCACAGCGGGGCCCACAGAGAUGGCUCCCAUCUCAAUGAUAUCUAGUUACAUUUGAUUAAAAAGGAAAGAUUUGGGUAUAAUGUCACAGUCAUUCUGAAAUAAUGAACGUAAUUAGGGUAAUUAUACCCUACUCAACAAACUUGCAAGGUUUUAAUAAAUCUGACCAUUUUUAUACGACCGCAAAAAUUGAAAAUUUUUUGGUCGUAUAUUGGUAUCACGUUGGCAUCGUCGUCCCGAAUACUUUUAGUUUUCGCACUCUAACUUUAGUAAAAGUGAAUAGAAAUCUAUGAAAUUUUAACACAAGGUUUAUGACCACAAAAGGAAGGUUGGGAUUGAUUUUGGAAGUUUUGGUCCCAACAUUUUAGGAAUUAGGGGCCAAAAAGGGCCCAAAUAAGCAUUUUCUUGGUUUUCGCACUAUAACUUUAGUUUAAGUAAAUAGAAAUCUAUGAAAUUUUGACACAAGGUUUAUGACCACAAAAGGAAGGUUGGGAUUGAUUUUGGAGUUUUGGUUCCAACAGUUUAGGAAUUAGGGCCAAAAAAGGGCCCAAAUAAGCAUUAUUCUUGGUUUUCGCACAAUAACUUUAGUAUAAGUAAAUAGAAAUCAAUGAAAUUUAAACACAAGGUUUAUGACCACAAAAGGAAGGUUGGGAUUGAUUUUGGGGAGUUGAGGUCCAACAGUUUAGGAAUUAGGGGCCAAAAAGGGCCCAAAUAAGCAUUUUUCUUGGUUUUCGCACCAUAACUUUAGUAUAAGUAAGUCAAUAGAAAUCUAUGAAAUUUAAACACAAGGUUUAUGACCAUAAAAGGAAGGUUGGGAUUGAUUUUGGGAGUUUUGGUCCAAACAGUUUAGGAAUAAGGGGCCCAAAGGGUCCAAAAUUAAACUUUGUUUGAUUUCAUCAAAAAUUGAAUAAUUGGGGUUCUUUGAUAUGCCGAAUCUAACUGUGUAUGUAGAUUCUUAAAUUUUUGGUCCCUGUUUUCAAAUUGGUCUACAUUAAGGUCCAAAGGGUCCAAAAUUAAACUUAGUUUGAUUUUAACAAAAAUUGAAUCCUUGGACAAGUUGGGGUUCUUUGAUAUGCUGAAUCUAAAAAAAUGUACUUAGAUUUUUGAUUAUUGGCCCAGUUUUCAAGUUGGUCCAAAUCGGGGUCCAAAAUUAAACUUUGUUUGAUUUCAUCAAAAAUUGAAUAAUUGGGGUUCUUUGAUAUGCCAAAUCUAACUGUGUAUGUAGAUUCUUAAUUUUUGGUCCCGUUUUCAAAUUGGUCUACAUUAAAGUCCAAAGGGUCCAAAAUUAAACUAAGUUUGAUUUUAACAAAAAUUGAAUUCUUGGGCUUCUUUGAUAUGCUGAAUCUAAACAUGUACUUAGAUUUUUAUUAUGGGCCCAGUUUUCAAGUUGGUCCAAAUCAGGAUCCAAAAUUAUUAUAUUAAGUAUUGUGCAAUAGCAAGAAAUUUUCAAUUGCACAGUAUUGCGCAAUAGCAAGAAAUCUUCAAUUGCACAGUAUUGUGCAAUAGCAAAUAUUUUCAAUUGCACAGUAUUGCACAAUAGCAAGAAAUAUCUAAUUGCACAAUAUUGUGCAAUAGCAUGAAAUUUUUAAUUGGAGUCUUAUCUUUCUUUUUUCAGAAUAGUAGUUGAAUCAACUUAAAUCAUUGUUUUAUACAAUAUACAAUGUAUAUUCACUUUUACUACCAACUGAUAAAUUAAAACAAUCUUUACCAUUCAGUGAUUACAACAAGCACUUUCUUUACAUUUUAAUAUUUUAUGAUGUAUUUAAAUGAGUAGUUAUUGUUGCAAACUCCAUUAGAAAUUUGAAUUGAGAUCAGUUUUGGAAUAAGGGAAAGGGGGAUGUGAAAAAAAAAUUGGGGAGGGGGGGUAAAUUUUUUUCAUUUCAGAUUUCAUAAAUAAAAAGAAAAUUUCUUCAAACAUUUUUUUGAGAGGAUUAAUAUUCAACAGCAUAGUGAAUUGCUCAAAGGCAAAAAAAAAUUUUAAGUUCAUUAGACCACAUUCAUUCUGUGUCAGAAACCUAUGCUGUGUCAACUAUUUAAUCACAAUCCAAAUUUAGAGCUGAAUCCAGCUUGAAUGUUGUGUCCAUACUUGCCCCAACCGUUCAGGGUUCAACCUCUGCGGUCGUAUAAAGCUGCGCCCUGCGAAGCAUCUGUUUUUUUUAGAUAAGAGAAUGACUUGAGCAGACUGUAUUGAGGUCAUAGAUGGCAAUAACAAUGAAAUACAAUAUAUUAUAAUUAUCAUUGAUUCUUCAUUACUUUUUGAUUGAAUUAACAAACUUAAUUUAAUAACAAAAAAUUUCAUUUUCAGUAGACAACACAUCCUGUCAGAGGAAUAAUUUUACUGGAGGAUAAAAAUUUUGAUACCUGGAAUCAGCAAUUUAUAUGAAAUUUGUUAUGAGAGAUAUAUUCAUGUACAGAAUGGUAUCCGAGGUGGUUCAAGUGAUUAUAAGCGGACUUUUUUGUUGAACUAAUGCAGGAUUUAAUAAAAUGAAAGACUAUGGGCUCCAAAGUUUAGUAACAAGAGGAUUUUUUAAAUAUGUGAGACUCAUCAACAUUAAAAAGUGCAGAAGUGAAAUGUCACCAUAUUUAUUAAAAAAAAUCAGAUUAUUGACUCAGUUGUUUUCAUGAAUAUUUUGUUUUAAGCAAUUUCACUGUUAUAUACUUAAUAAGAUUCCACGUUUAUUUUAUACUUCUGACAACCGAAUAUUAUAUCUUCCCUCUGGCCUCAAGUGUUUCCCUUUUAUUUUGCAUGAGUGUAAUUUAAAAAAGCUCGCUUUUAGUUUUGGGCAAAUUCAAGUUUUGCCAUUCCAGAAUUAUUCGACUUUUUUCCUGGUAAAUUAGACAUGUACCCACAUGUUGUAUUUUGCUUUGGUACUUUUUCAAGAAAUUGUGGAUCAAGGCUGAAUUUUAUCAAAUAAGAUCAUUUUUGGAUAUUUAUCACAUAUCACAUACUUGAAUAAUCUUUAAAAUUGAGAAUAUAGAUGGGCAAUGUGUCAAAGAG
rnacentral:lncRNA from 1 species